rnacentral:rRNA from 1 species
AAGCUCGUAGUUGAAUUUCGGAAUCAAUCUGUUGGUCGUGCCUCGGUACGUACUGGUAUUAUUGGUUUCUACCUUCUGAAGAACCUUGAUGUCAUUAAUUUGGUGUCUUGGGGAAUCAGGACUGUUACUUUGAAAAAAUUAGAGUGUUUAAAGCAAGCAUACGCUUGAAUACAUUAGCAUGGAAUAAUGAAAUAGGACGUUUGAUUCUAUUUUGUUGGUUUCUAGGAUCGACGUAAUGAUUAAUAGGGAUAGUUGGGGGCAUUAGUAUUCAAUUGUCAGAGGUGAAAUUCUUGGAUUUAUUGAAGACUAACUACUGCGAAAGCAUUGCCAAGGAUGUUUUCAUUAAUCAAGAACGAAAGUUAGGGGAUCGAAGACGAUCAGAUACCGUCGUAGUCUUAACCAUAAACUAUGCCGACUAGGGAUCGGAUGAUGUUAAUUUUUUAAUGACUCAUUCGGCGCCUUACGGGAAACCAAAGUGUUUGGGUUCCGGGGGGAGUAUGGUCGCAAGGCUGAAACUUAAAGGAAUUGACGGAAGGGCACCACCAGGGGUGGAGCCUGCGGCUUAAUUUGACUCAACACGGGGAAA